GGCGUUUGCAAGUGCGUUGCCGAUGGCCGUCAUGACCAUAAGAAGCUCGCUAGGCCAGUCAUCCAGGUCCAGGGAGCGCACACGGGACAGCCCUGCAGGCUGGCCAGGAUCUGGCUCUCAAUGGCCUGCACCCAGAGCUCCCGCUCCUCUGAUGUUGAGGCUUCAAAGAGCCACGUCUGGCCCGUCAGUGACACGAUAAUGAACUCAAAUGGCUCAUCUGGUUCUGGAAGAGAAAGCUCCACUGGCUUGUGCCCACUCUUCUGCCCCGUGUCCCACCCUCAGAGAAAGCUGCCAACUUCUGGAACAGUGCAAUCAGCUCCUCCACGGAGCCGGUGCCUGCAGACAGCCCCAGCGCCAGGGCUCAGUGCCUGCCCUGGACGGGCCCUGUACACGGAGUGAGGCGUGCAAGAGGAGCCUGUGCACUGGGCUCAGAGGCAGCUCCUGACCAUGGCUUACAAGGUGCUCUACCCUGCCAACACCUGCCAGCCUGGCUCUGCCUCACACGGCCCCCCACGGGCACAGUUCAUGGGGUGUCGUGUCAGCCUCACACCCAGCACCAGCAUUUACCUUUUAUUGCCAACUUCAGUAGUUAGUGCAGUAAAUGACUUAACUAAGCGGGGCCUG